rnacentral:misc_RNA from 1 species
CGCACAUUGCACCUCUUGGUAUUCCUUGAGGUAUGUCUGUUCGAGCGCCGUUUUAAACUUAAGACUUUGUCUUGUAUUGAUUUUCUCUGAAUUGAAAGAGUAAUCGAAAUGUAUGAGCAUUGACUAUUGCUGAAAACAUAGCAAAAUAUGUUGGAAACCAAUAGAAUAUCGCUAAAUUUCAAACAAAAACAUGGCCUCGGAUCAGAUAGGGAUACCCGCUGAACUUAA